UACGGGGGGGGGUAAGCGUUGUUCGGAAUUACUGGGCGUAAAGGGCUCGUAGGCGGCCAACUAAGUCAUACGUGAAAUCCCUCAGCUUAACUUGGGAACUGCGUCUGAUACUGGGAGGCUUGAGUGCGGGAGAGGGAUGUGGAAUUCCAGGUGUAGCGGUGAAAUGCGUAGAUAUCUGGAGGAACACUGGUGGCGAAGGCGGCAUCCUGGACCGACACUGACGCUGAUGCGCGAAAGCUAGGGGAGCAAACGGG
rnacentral:rRNA from 1 species